GACGAACGCUGGCGGCGUGCCUAAUACAAGCAAGUCGAGCGGACUUGAAGGAGUGCUUGCACUCCUGAGAGUUAGCGGCGGACGGGUGAGUAACACGUAGGCAACCUGCCCUCAAGACUGGGAUAACUACCGGAAACGGUAGCUAAUACCGGAUAAUUUAUUACAUAGCAUUAUGUGAUAAUGAAAGACGGAGCAAUCUGUCACUUGGGGAUGGGCCUGCGGCGCAUUAGCUAGUUGGUGGGGUAACGGCCCACCAAGGCGACGAUGCGUAGCCGACCUGAGAGGGUGAACGGCCACACUGGGACUGAGACACGGCCCAGACUCCUACGGGAGGCAGCAGUAGGGAAUCUUCCGCAAUGGGCGAAAGCCUGACGGAGCAACGCCGCGUGAGUGAUGAAGGUUUUCGGAUCGUAAAGCUCUGUUGCCAAGGAAGAACGUCUCAUAGAGUAACUGCUAUGAGAGUGACGGUACUUGAGAAGAAAGCCCCGGCUAACUACGUG
rnacentral:rRNA from 1 species